GACGAACGCUGGCGGCGUGCUUAACACAUGCAAGUCGAACGGAAAGGCCCUGCUUUUGUGGGGUGCUCGAGUGGCGAACGGGUGAGUAACACGUGAGUAACCUGCCCUUGACUUUGGGAUAACUUCAGGAAACUGGGGCUAAUACCGGAUAGGAGCUCCUGCUGCAUGGUGGGGGUUGGAAAGUUUCGGCGGUUGGGGAUGGACUCGCGGCUUAUCAGCUUGUUGGUGGGGUAGUGGCUUACCAAGGCUUUGACGGGUAGCCGGCCUGAGAGGGUGACCGGCCACCUUGGGACUGAGGGACGGCCCAGAAUCCUACGGGAGGCAGCAGUGGGGAAUAUUGCACAAUGGGCGGAAGCCUGAUGCAGCAACGCCGCGUGCGGGAUGACGGCCUUCGGGUUGUAAACCGCUUUCGCCUGUGACGAAGCGUGAGUGGCGGUAAUGGGUAAAGAAGCACCGGCUAACUACGUG
rnacentral:rRNA from 1 species